rfam:Capsicum annuum cultivar Zunla-1 chromosome 7, whole genome shotgun sequence
ACCUCAUAGUUUGGAAAUUUCAUAAGUUUCUCCUUAAAUCUCCCCCGUGCUUCAUACAAAAGCUCUCCAUUGUGUUGAAAAAAAUUUGUGAUUUCAUAAUGCAAUU